rnacentral:rRNA from 1 species
AAUAGAUACCCUGGUAGUCCACGCCGUAAACGUUGGAUACUAGGUGUGGCGGUCUACCAACGACUGCCGUGCCGAAGCUAACGCAUUAAGUAUCCCGCCUGGGGAGUACGGCCGCAAGGCUAAAACUCAAAGGAAUUGACGGGUCCCCGCACAAGCGGCGGAGCAUGCGGCUUAAUUCGAUGCAACCCGAAGAACCUUACCUGGGUUUGACAUCAUGGGAAAAGCCGUAGAAAUACGGUGUCCGAAAGGGCCCAUGACAGGUGGUGCAUGGCUGUCGUCAGCUCGUGUCGUGAGAUGUUGGGUUAAGUCCCGCAACGAGCGCAACCCUUGUCCUAUGUUGCCAGCGGUUCGGCCGGGGACUCAUAGGAGACUGCCGGGGAUAACUCGGAGGAAGGUGAGGACGACGUCAAGUCAUCAUGCCCCUUAUAUCCAGAGCUGCACGCAUGCUACAAUGGCCGGUACAACGGGAAGCGACCCCGCGAGGGUGAGCGAAUCCCUUAAAGCCGGUCCCAGUUCGGAUUGAAGUCUGCAACUCGACUUC